AUCCAGUUGACGAGUUUGAAAUAGGACGAAACGCUCAUCUUGGAU
rnacentral:hammerhead_ribozyme from 1 species